UACGGGGGGUGCAAGCGUUGUUCGGAAUUACUGGGCGUAAAGGGCUCGUAGGCGGCCAACUAAGUCAGACGUGAAAUCCCUCGGCUUAACCGGGGAACUGCGUCUGAUACUGGAUGGCUUGAGUUUGGGAGAGGGAUGCGGAAUUCCAGGUGUAGCGGUGAAAUGCGUAGAUAUCUGGAGGAACACCGGUGGCGAAGGCGGCAUCCUGGACCGAGAUUGACGCUGAUGCGCGAAAGCCAGGGGAGCAAACGGG
rnacentral:rRNA from 1 species